rnacentral:lncRNA from 1 species
UUUAGGGCUUGCUGCAGAGAGGCUUACCCUUGUGUUUCCUUUUUCCUUUCUUUUAUUUGGGAAAUGUAGCAUAAGAGUAAUGGACAAAACUUAAAGUUCCAACUUGAGAGGCAAAGUUAACUUAUUAGAUCUGUGGUUAUUAUUCUGCUUCAUGGAUCACCCAUAUAGAGCAGGAGAGUUCUUGAACCUAACAGGCCUGUCCAUUUUCUUUUACCAUUGCAAAAACAACCCCAUCUGAGUGAGUAGAAGUAUGCUGCUGCUCUUUAUAUAAAAAACUUAAGUGAGAGAGAACCUUUAUGCAAUUACUAAUUUAUCUCAAAAAUUGAAGGACUUGCACAACUGCGAAUAUACUAAAAACCAUUGAAUUGUACGUUUUAAAUUGGUGAAUUGUAUGGUAUAUGAAUUAUGUCUCAACAAAGCUGUUCCUAAAAAAACUAAAGGCCAAGUGUUAUUAUUAUACACAUUAUCAGAUCUACUUAGAAGAUUUCUUGAGUUCUCAAUGGACUCUGCAUUAGGCUGUGCUUCUCUGAUGGAUAUACGUUCAGAAGUUGGCUGUGGACAAGUUUGCUACUUGUGAACUAUUAGAUAUUUGUUGACUUUUUCCCUGGCAAUUUUCUUAAGUAUCUUGUAAUAACUUAAUCUUGCUGCUUUCUGCUUCUGGCUGUGAAAUGAAAUUGGAAGCCCUUUAGCCACAUGGAUAAUACAGGACCUGAAUACAAAUGUCACAUGUCACCAUCAGGACCCACUGUGAGACAAUAGUGUUCCCACUCCAACACCGCGCCAUUACAGAUCAUUUAAAUAUGGGGAUUACAUUUAAACUAAAAGCCCCAUUUGCCUUUUACUGCAAUUUAAAUGUCCUCUUAGCAAAAGCUAAGUGACAAAUUAAAUGAAAAAAAUGCCCACAUUUUUAAAGUUGUAAUGCAAAACAACCUUUUAUUGCUUCUCAUGUGCCACGAAUGAAUCAUUAUACUUGUCAACCCUAAACCAAGCCAUAAUUGGAGCAGCUACUGUUAUCAAAGUGGGGCCGCUCUGUGACAGCUUAAUAAAGCUGAAACUGUUAAAUUAAAUCUCAGAUGCUUAACUCCUUAGCACUGGUGGAUUCGUUGGGUCCAUUUCUGGCAGUGACCAGUACACCAGGAAAAAAAAAAAAAAAAAAGAUUCCUGGCAUGAAAGCCCUAAUCUGAUGAAAGUGUACAAGCGAGAGUAUGCUAGCCAACCAAUAAUACUGAGGUUUAAGGAGGCUUGAUAACUUGCCCGAGGUCACAGUAGCAAAGCAGGAAUUUAAUCCCAGUAAUUCAUCAUCAUCUUCAAACUCUUAUGUAAGAUUUCACAUGGUUUGGCUUCUGAGUUUUUUUCCCCAAAAUAAGUUCUGAUAACUUUUAAUUUUAAGUUUCUAUAGAAGACUAUGGAACCUGGGCAUUAAAACUAAAAUGGCAGAGUGGAUGGUAGACUAGAAGUGUUUUGGCAAAGAUACUGUGGGAGGUGAUCCAGAGAGAGGGAAGCCGAAGGAAGAGUACGCACAUAGAGAAAAUGUUCAGUAACCCUGUUGGGUUGGGGAUGUGUUUCAGAAAUGCCUCCUGGUGGGAGUAGGUAAGGAUGCAGUUGAUAAUCCAGAAGCUAGGUGAUGCACACACCAGUGAUUUGAAAAUUGCCAAAGCAUCUCAGACCUUUAAAUCACUCUCUUUGCCUAUAGGCCCAGACUGGAGUCCUGGGAGCUAGAGAGAAUAAUGUCUACAGGAAAACAAAACACAUUUAAAAGUCGCUUAUUGAAACCAAGGGAAAAGGAGAAAUUGAAAUGUGUUUCAAUGCCAAGUGGAAAUUAAUUGUUCCAAGAACUCAUCAUUACAAGUUGCAGAAGUAUUUCAAGUUACUGAUUUUUGUUUAAUAUGUUGUCUUGUUUUAUUUUAUUAAAUGUAAAAUACUUAUAAGGG